rnacentral:other from 1 species
UGCCCUCUGCAGUGUUUGUUAGUGGUAUACAUUCUUGAGCCGAUAAUAAUCGACUUCGGGGAUACCCGUACUGAUGUUGGUGUGCAAGCCUGCUAUAGGCAGGAAGCCUUAAACAUCGUCAGUGUCCCCACCUGAACCCUUUGGUUUCAAGGUCGAACACCACGACGGCACAGGCGGAGAGCAC